rnacentral:rRNA from 1 species
UGAGGAAUAUUGGUCAAUGGGCGCAAGCCUGAACCAGCCAUCCCGCGUGCAGGAAGACGGCCCUAUGGGUUGUAAACUGCUUUUCCAGGGGGAGAAUUUUUCUGUCGUGACAGGAAUUGACGGUACCCUGGGAAUAAGCAUCGGCUAACUCCGUGCCAGCAGCCGCGGUAAUACGGAGGAUGCGAGCGUUAUCCGGAUUUAUUGGGUUUAAAGGGUGCGUAGGCGGAUAGAUAAGUCAGUGGUGAAAACCUGCAGCUUAACUGUAGACUUGCCGUUGAUACUGUCAGUCUUGAGUAUGGUCAAGGUAGGCGGAAUGUGUAAUGUAGCGGUGAAAUGCUUAGAUAUUACACAGAACACCGAUUGCGAAGGCAGCUCACAAAGCCAUUAUUGACGCUGAUGCACGAAAGUGUGGGGAUCAAACA